rnacentral:ncRNA from 2 species
UGAACUGAGGGGCGCUGCAGCAGCUUUUACUGUCAGGCUCAGUUCAGGAAACACUGUUCAACGGCGCCCGUUCAAC